AGGGGGAUAACUACUGGAAACGGUAGCUAAUACCGCAUAACGUCUUCGGACCAAAGUGGGGGACCUUCGGGCCUCACACCAUCGGAUGUGCCCAGAUGGGAUUAGCUAGUAGGUGGGGUAAUGGCUCACCUAGGCGACGAUCCCUAGCUGGUCUGAGAGGAUGACCAGCCACACUGGAACUGAGACACGGUCCAGACUCCUACGGGAGGCAGCAGUGGGGAAUAUUGCACAAUGGGCGCAAGCCUGAUGCAGCCAUGCCGCGUGUGUGAAGAAGGCCUUCGGGUUGUAAAGCACUUUCAGCGAGGAGGAAGGCCAAUAGCUUAAUAGGCUGUUGGAUUGACGUUACUCGCAGAAGAAGCACCGGCUAACUCCGUGCCAGCAGCCGCGGUAAUACGGAGGGUGCAAGCGUUAAUCGGAAUUACUGGGCGUAAAGCGCACGCAGGCGGUUUGUUAAGUCAGAUGUGAAAUCCCCGAGCUUAACUUGGGAACUGCAUUUGAAACUGGCAAGCUAGAGUCUUGUAGAGGGGGGUAGAAUUCCAGGUGUAGCGGUGAAAUGCGUA
rnacentral:rRNA from 1 species